UUUUAGGCUCAAACCAUAUAUAGUCCUUUAAUGUGAAUAAUUAUACUGAUAUAUAUUUUUUUUUAUCCGAGGUUGAUAGAACAAACCUAAGAUUAAAUGUAGAAUAAAAGGAUUACUUGAUUAUAUCGAUAGACAACUAGGCUCUGUUGUGCAGCACUAUAUAAGCCUAUAACUUUAAUGGUAGGUGAGAAAGAAGGGUAUAAAGGAUGCAAAGCAAAAGGAAGAGCUGGAGGAUGAUAUUCAAAAAAUGGAAAAGGCUGCCCUUGAGGCAUUUAAAAAAGACCUAGCUGGUGACCCUGAACUUGCUGCCAAGUAUGGAGUGAGAGUCAGAUCGGAGGCUGAAAAAGAAGCUGAGAAAAAACAGAAAGAAAAGGCAUCUGAUAUAGCAAAACAGAAGGCACUAGAAGCAAUAGAAAAGAAAAGGAAGGAAGGAGAGUGGUAUGAAGCUAAAUCGGCCGAGGGCUACACGUAUUACUGGAACACCGUCUCACACGAAUCAAAAUGGGUUGCUCCCAGCGUCUAUGUUUCCAUAGAAGAACAAGAGGCGAAGAAAAAGAGUGAGGAAGAAGAGGAACAGAAGGAGGCAGAGAAGAAGGCCAGAGUUCAAGAAGAACUAGAUGCGCAGCCUGAUGAAGUAGCAGUGGGACCACUUCGCUGGGGGACUACCUCAACAUCAGCCUAUGGCAACUGGAAAACAGUGAAGGAACCCCCUAACCUUGAUCUUCCGGAGGAACCCUCAGAGCCUCUCCCCAUUGAAGACAUUCCCCUCCCCGGGCCCCCUAAAGAGAAGAAAGAGAAACAAGAAGGAGGCAGGUUCAAAGAAAAGAGAGUCCAAAGUCUAGCGAGUGGCAAUGACAAUACAAAAGUGACUUUUAAAAAACGCAAAUUAGGAUCAGGGGCACGCAAUACUAGACAACGAGAAGAUGACGAUUGACAAAGGGUUUUUAUAGUAGCAUCAAGUGAAGUUUGAACAAGUGAUAAGAUCAUUGUUAUGUUAUUUGACAAUACAUGUAUCUACAUUGGCAUGAAAUUUAUUAUCUACAUAUUUGUUAAAGAGGAAUUACAAUUUUAACACAAUUUAAUUUAAUUCCUCAUUUUGAUAUUGAGAUAGCUUUUUUGUGAAAAGAUCUGUACUACAUUUCCUGGGAUCAACUUGACUUCAAAAUGGAUAACUUUGCAAAGAACAAUUGUGUAACGUUUAAUUUAUUAGGAUGUGACAUAGGUUGAAAAAAACAUUUAAGAAAUUGCACUUAG
rnacentral:misc_RNA from 1 species